rnacentral:rRNA from 1 species
UACGUAGGGUGCAAGCGUUGUCCGGAAUUAUUGGGCGUAAAGAGCUCGUAGGCGGUUUGUCGCGUCUGCUGUGAAAACUCGGGGCUCAACUCCGAGCUUGCAGUGGGUACGGGCAGACUAGAGUGCGGUAGGGGAGACUGGAAUUCCUGGUGUAGCGGUGAAAUGCGCAGAUAUCGGGAGGAACACCAGUAGCGAAGGCGGCACUCUGGGCCGUGACUGACGCUGAGGAGCGAAAGCGUGGGUAGCAAACAGG